ACUUUUUUAAAAUUAAUUAACUUGUUUUAACUGUAAUAAAUGUUGUUUGUUAACAUUUAGUUACAGUUUUUUCUUUCUUUUUAAGAAUUAUCUGAAUUUUGUUUUACAGAAAUAUUGUGAUUAAAUUAAAUUGAUAACAAUUGAACAUAAACGGCAAUUUAUUCUGUUUUGUUAUAGCAAACAUUACUGUUGAUGUACAGAUUUGUGAUGUUCACCCAGAAGUUGGUUAUUUACCAAGAGGUCAAUUUUAAUAUUUACUUGUUACACCUUAAUAUUAAAUACAAUCAUUGUUAACCCAAAAAUCCUACAAAAAACACAAGAGCCCAGACUUAUGUCUGUUUCUUUUUAUUUGUUGAUGUUAUUUCUGAUUUUUUUUUUUUGUAAACCAAAAGUUUUGUUUUAAUGUAUUCUUGUGUUCGUGUGUGUGUUUUUUUUUUACACAUUUAUAUUUUCACUUUUUUCUACUUAAUAUGUUGUUCCUGGUGAACAUUUGCUUGAAUGCAGCGAAACAUUUACUUACAAAUUAUGUGUCUAUUUCAUGUACCAUUGUUUGAUGCAGCAUUAAUUUUUAUAAUGUUGUUUUCAUUAAACUAAAUGAUUUAUAUUGA